rnacentral:rRNA from 1 species
CAAUAGCGUAUAUUAAAGUUGUUGCGGUAAAAAAGCUCGUAGUUGGAUUUCUACCGAAGAUAGCCGGUCGGGUCUUCGACCUUGUAUCUGGUUUUGUCUUUGGUAUCCUCAUAGGGAACGUUUCUGCGCUUUAUUGCGUGGUGCGGUAUCUAUGACUUUUACUUUGAGGAAAUUAGAGCGUUCACGGCAGGCAAACGCCUUGAAUAUAUUAGCAUGGAAUAAUAACAUAGGAUCUUCGUCCUAUUUUGUUGGUUUCUAGGGCUAAGAUAAUGAUUAAUAGGGAUAAUUGGGGGCAUCUGUAUCAACGCGUCAGAGGUGGAAUUCUUGGAUUGCGUUGCGACAAACUACUGCGAAAGCAUUUGCCAAGGAUGUUUUCAUUGA